rnacentral:misc_RNA from 1 species
GAGGCAAAACACGAGGUAUGUAUAUCAAACGCUCUAGAAAAGAUUCAUGUGAUGAAAUACAUGAUGAACCACGUAUGUUCUCAAGGUAAAAUUAAUUAAUGCAGUAUAGUUUUAACUUUGUCCAUCGAUCUCAACCUGUAACUGUGACGACACACUGGCUACAGUGCCCUCGAGGUACUAGCAGUAUAGCAGUAGCUGUAGUACGUAGCAGCAGCAGCAGCAGGUUCACUGUCUUGAUUGGAUUGGAUCGGAUUAGUAGACGUAGUUCUUGACGAACAUGCCCUCCUUGGCCUCGGCGGCCUCGCCGUCGCUGGUGUACUUGCCGAGCUGCGCCAGCGAGUUGGCCUUGGCGCGGAGGAGCAGCGCGUCCUGCGCCGCCUUCACGUUCUCCGGCUGCCCGCCCCACGUCUUGAGGCACGUGUUCUGCAGCGCCCUCGCGUACGAGAACGACACGUGCCACGGGUUGGGCCCCUGGUUCAUCGCGUUCAGGUUCUGCGUCGCCUCCACCUCCGACUGCCCACCCGACAAGAACAUGAUGCCGGGGACGGCAGGGGGGAUCCUUCUGUGGAGGAGCUUGAGGGUGUAGUCAGAUACUUGCUCAGGGGUGGCCCUGUCCUUGCACUCGGCACCGGGUGUCACCAUGCUUGGCUUGAGGAGGAUGCCCUCGAACAUCACAUUGUUCUCGGCCAUGUAGAAGAAGGUCUCCGCCCACACCUUCUGCGCCACCUCGAAGGUCCUGUCGAUGCCAUGCUCACCGUCGAGGAGGAUCUCAGGCUCGACAAUCGGCACCAGCCCGUUGUCCUGAGAAAUGGCGGCGUAGCGGGCAAGGCCCCAGGCAGCCUCCUUCACGGCGAGUUCAGAUGGGCCGUUGGGGAUGCUGACAACAGUGCGCCACUUGGCGAAGCGAGCGCCCUGCUGGUAGUAUGCCGCCUCGCGCGAGGCAAGGCCGUCGAGACCUUGGCACCAUGACUCGUUGUUGGAGCCAGCAAGGGGCACAAGACCCUUGUCGACCUUGAUACCUGGAACGAUUUUCUGCUCAGUGAGGAUGUCGACAAUCUUCUUGCCAUCUACAGUUGACUGGUACAGAGUCUCCUCGAAGAGGAUAGCACCGGAGAUGUACUGUCCCAAGCCCGGUGCGGUGACAAGGAGGGUCCGGUAAGCCUGGCGGUUGGCCUCGGUGUUCUCAAGGCCAAUUGACGCAAGCCUCUUACCGCAGGUCGCGUUCGACUCAUCCAUGGCAAGGAUACCCCUUCCUGGUGAUGCAAUGGUUUUCGCGGUCUUGACAAGCUCAUCGUCGUAGGCACCAGCGCGGACAACCAUGGAGACAGUCACCGGCUUGGGGGCGGCAGCCUGGCGGGUGGCACCCCAUUCAGACUUCUUGGGAAGGAAAGAUGACUUGAGGAGAGUAGCAGACGCCAUUGCUUCCGGUUUCUCUGAAGGCAAAGGAGAGCAAGGUGCUACUACCCUCUCCUUGACACAGGCCUUUUCU